UUAUUUAGCAAUGAGUCUGAAAGCUCCACAAAUAGCGCCAUCUAUUGGUGGACCACGAUACUUACAAGCGUGAGCUAGUAGAUCAGCUGAUCGUGUUAUGUCCACACCAAAAUAGACAACGAUUACCUUUUUGAGUAGGAUUAUUUGUCAAAAUUCCGAAAAAAGGUUUUUGUUGUUGGUUUUGUUGGCAAGAAAAUGGUUGGCAGGUUAUGUGCCGAACCUGAAAAAAUGUGUAAAAGUGCAUGUGACUAAAACCAAAAAAAAAAUAGAUCUCAGUGAAGUGGUUGGCGAAGUCCGUUGCAUAUAUCGUAUUUUUCACCUAUGCCGUCCACUUAACCCACACAAUAGAUGGUUGUCCACUUCCACGUCCUCCCAUACCAAGUGCCGUUUUCCAGAUUAGGAUUCGGCACUUAGUCAUAUUGUAUAUAAAACUCGGUAUUAAACUGAAUCUAAUGACUCGGGCAUAAAUUAUAAUAACCCAGUCACCAUUAAUAUAAACGCCGUAAUAAUUCAUAUGAACGCCUUCUUAAGUUAUAUAAAACGCCGUAAUAACUUAUAAUAAACCAACAUCCAAAUUUGAAUGUGGUCGAAUUUUAAAUUCGUUAUACUGCAAAUUCACCACACACCAAGGAGCGAUUAACGGCCAUCCACCCAAAGCUCGCGUCACAGCUUUGCUGGCCACAUCAGCUGUUGGUACGCCACGAGCAGAUGAUCAGCUGUUGGUUGCAGACUCUCAUUGAGCAAAACCAAGCGGACUGAGUUUCGGAUGAAGGAAAACAUCUGCGGCCUACGGCUUUGCAAUCUCCAUCUACGGAUUGCGAUGUUCUGUGGUGUCCUCAAGGCGAAUAUCAGCGUCACCCAGUAGGAAGGCGAACAGCUGAAUAGCAGCUAAUGUUUUUUUUUGUUUUUGGUUGUAUUAUUGUUAGCUUAUUUUUCUUGUUAUCUUAUUGUUCGCUGUAUUAUUGUUAGUUUAGAAUGUUUAGUGUGC